GGACCAUAGCUCAAUAGUAGAUCAUCUGCCUUGUAUGCAGAAGACCGCAGGUUCAGUCCCCGGCAUCUCCU